GGCAGUAGCUUUGCUACUGGGUAGGAGAGCGUCCCAUGCGGGGCGAAGCGGCGGCGCAAGCCCGCCGUGGACCGCAUGGGAGUGAGAAUGCAGACAUGAGUAGCGAAAGACGGGUGAAGAUCCCGUCCGCUGGACGACCAAGGGUUCCAGGGCCACGUUCAUCGUCCCUGGGUGAGUCGGGUCCUAAGGCGAGGCCGACAGGCGUAGUCGAAUGGAUGAACGGGUCGAUAUUCCCGUACCGGCAUGCAACCGACAAAACCGAAUCCGCGAGUACUAACCUCCGGGUCCGGGCUUACGUCUCCUUCGGGAGCCGGAUGCCCUGGCCUGUUGGGACCGUAACGGUAGUAGGUCAGCGCGGGAGUGACGCAGAAGGGUAGCCGGCCGCGGAGGUGGUCUUCCGUGGUCAAGCACGCAGCCCGUCCCACAGGCAAAUCCGUGGGGCGCGUGGGCGAGGUGCGAUGAUGGGCGCCGCAGGGCGCGAUAUCCGGUGAUCCCGGCUGCCGAGAAAAGCUUCGGCGUGAGGCGGCGUGCCGCCCGUACCCCAAACCGACACUGGUGGUCAGGUAGAGAAUACCAAAGCGAUCGAGCGAAUCCUGGUCAAGGAACUCGGCAAAUCACUCCCGUUCCUUCGGUUUAAGGGAGACCCCCGAUGGUGAAGCGGCUUGCCCGUGGAGCUUUUGGGGGUGGCACAGACCAGGGGGUAGCGACUGUUUACCAAAAACACAGGAGCGUGCGAAGGCGCAAGCCGCUGUAUACGCUCUGACGCCUGCCCGGUGCCGGAAGGUUAAGAGGAUCCGUCAGGCCUCGGCCGAAGCGGUGAAUUCAAGCCCCGGUAAACGGCGGUGGUAACUAUAACCAUCCUAAGGUAGCGAAAUUCCUUGUCGGGUAAGUUCCGACCUGCACGAAUGGCGUAACGACUUCCCCACUGUCUCGACCAGGAGCUCGGCGAAAUUGCAGUACGAGUAAAGAUGCUCGUUAAGCGCAGAAGGACGAAAAGACCCCGGGACCUUUACUAUACCUUGGUAUUGGCAUUCGGUGUGGAUUGUGUAGCAUAGGCGGAAGGCUUCGAAGCCACGGCGCCAGCCGCGGUGGAGCCGCAAGGUGAAAUACCGCUCUGUUCGCAUUGGAUGUCUAACCUCGACCAGUCAUCCUGGUCAGGGACAGUGCCUGGCGGGUAGUUUAACUGGGGCGGUUGCCUCCCAAAGAGUAACGGAGGCGCUCAAAGGUUCCCUCAGCCCGGUUGGCAAUCGGGUGGCGAGUGUAAGUGCACAAGGGAGCUUGACUGCGAGACUGACGGGUCGAGCAGG
rnacentral:rRNA from 1 species